rnacentral:tRNA from 1 species
AAGAUUUUAAGUUAAUUAAACUAUUAAUUUUCAAAAUUAAAUAUAAAGAUCAAUCUUCUUUAAGUCUUA